rnacentral:rRNA from 1 species
UACGACUACAUAUCAGGCAUAUCAAUAAGCGGAGGAAAAGAAACUAACAAGGAUUCCCUUAGUAACGGCGAGUGAAGCGGGAAGAGCUCAAAUUUGAAAUCUUCAAGGUUUUACCUUGACGAAUUGUAGUUUAAAGAAGUGUUUUCUGUUGAAGUUUUGGUAAAAGUUCUUUGGAAUAGGACAUCAUAGAGGGUGAGAAUCCCGUAUUUGACCAUUAUUUUCAGCUGUGUGAUACACUUUCAAAGAGUCGGAUUGUUUGGGAAUGCAGUCCAAAAUGGGUGGUAAAUUUCAUCUAAAGCUAAAUAUUGGCGAGAGACCGAUAGCGAACAAGUACCGUGAGGGAAAGAUGAAAAGAACUUUGAAAAGAGAGUUAAACAGUACGUGAAAUUGUCAAAAGGGAAGCGUUUGACACCAGUGUUGUUUUCUCGAAAAUCAAUUAAAAAAGUUGGAUUUUGUGUUGUAUUGACCUUAACAGCUUGCUUCACUCUUUUCCAGCUUUUUUUAAUGCACUUUUCGUUUAACAAGUCAACAUCAGUUUCUUUUGUUGUAAAAGGGUCAUUGGAAGGUGGCUUUCUCUUCGGAGAAAGUGUUUAUAGCCUUUGAUCUCUGCAAUCGGAGAGACUGAGGUCUGCAGCGUAGAUCCUUCGGGGUUAGAUACAUUUGUGCUAAGCUACAGCUUUUCAUAGACAACUUGUUGACUAUGUUUAGUCUUGUGACUUACCCGCUUAUGCUAUUUUACCUACGCUUAGGAUGUUGAGCGCAUGUCUCUCUCU